rnacentral:lncRNA from 1 species
GGAAAGUGCCCUUUCUGGGUGGCUGACCAACCCCAAAUCGCCUCGGGAUUGCCUAAGAGAAGGAGCGCAAGGCAGUGAAGCCUCAAGCAGCGUGGGCUGGGAGCUGACAUCAGGUGACAACAAGAACACCGUCCCUGCUGCUAAGAGUUGUGCAGUGUGCCUUCCCACGUGGUGGUAGAUCGGGGGGCAGCGUGCUCAAGGUGUAGGAAGUGGAUGGGAAAAACCCAACCAACCCCAACAACCCUGUUGUGUGUUUCCCUGUGCCAGUUCCCACGCGGAGCUGGGGCCUGGUGCUGCCCAUGGAGGCCGACAGCACUACGCAGCGUUUUGCAUGCCAACGUGACACCGACCACACAGCUUGCAAACCGUGCAGGUACGUGGAGCAGCACGAUACACAUCCAGAACAGGGAAUCAAUCAGGGACAUUCAUUUUUUUGGUCAUUUCCCUACUGGUCACCAUCAUUCUGAGGGUUGCAUUCUGUACUUUGACAUGUACGUAAUAAAAGCUUUGGUGCAAAACGGUGAGCGUAGGCAUGUAAGUGCACUUCUGAAUCAAGGACCUGCUGUGUCCCCACCACCACCUCAGAGGAUCUGCUUGGGAUGUUACCUAGAAAUACAGCCUAACAAACCUCACACCCCUCCAGACGAAUGA